GCUUUUGAAGGAUAACAGCUCAUCCACUGGUCUUAGGAACCAGAGACUCUUGGUGCAACUCCAAGCAAAAGCU
rnacentral:tRNA from 1 species